rnacentral:rRNA from 1 species
UCUGUGUAGGAUAGGUGGGAGGCAGAGAAGCUGGGGCGCUAGCCUCGGUGGAGCCGCCGGUGAAAUACCACCCUGAGUACAUCUAGACCCUAACCCCACACCGUAAACCGGGUGGGGGACCGUGUCAGGUAGGCAGUUUGACUGGGGCGGUCGCCUCCUAAAGGGUAACGGAGGCGCCCAAAGGUUCCCUCAGGCUGAAUGGAAACCAGCCGAAGAGUGCAAAGGCAUAAGGGAGCUUGACUGUGAGGCCAACAAGCCGAGCAGAGACGAAAGUCGGGCUUAGUGAUCCCACGGUACCGAGUGGAAGGGCCGUGGCUCAACGGAUAAAAGCUACCCCGGGGAUAACAGGCUAGUCUCCCCCAAGAGUUCACAUCGACGGGGAGGCUCGGCACCUCGAUGUCGGCUCAUCGCAUCCUGGGGCUGGACAAGGUCCCAAGGGUCGGGCUGUUCGCCCGUUAAAGCGGUACGCGAGCUGGGUUCAGACCGUCGUGAGACAGGUCGGUCUCUAUCCGCUGUGGGCGUAGGGGACUUGAGAGGAUCUGCUCCUAGUACGAGAGGACCGGAGUGGACAGACCUCUGGUGUGCCAGUUGUCGUGCCAACGGCAUCGCUGGGUAGCCACGUCUGGCAGAGAUAACCGCUGAAAGCAUCUAAGCGGGAAACUCGCCUCAAGAUAAGGUCCCCCAUCCUGUAAAGGGAGUAAGGCCGCAGGAAGACUACCUGCAGAUAGGCGGCAGGUGGAAGCGCAGUAAUGUGUGGAGCUGAGCCGUACUAAUGGCCGAGGGCUUACCGUG